UUUAACUCACUUGAGUUGCUGAGGUCAAGGUUCCUCCAUUAACCUUAAAUCCUUAGUUUCAAUUCUCUACAUCAUAGGUUCCAAUAAAAAUAAAAGAUACAAUCCCCAGUACGUGCCACACACUGCCGAUGCUCGUAGCGUAAAGCCGUUCACCCCAUGCCGUUCGCUUCCAAACUAGCUCGUCUCUUGACUCUUUUCCAUUUCUGCCUAGCUUUUGAUCCACCCGAUCCAUCAACUUAUUAACAUCAAGGUCAGUAAUUAUUUGAUCUUAAGCUCUCUUGCAUGCUAAUGCCAUAUUAUAAUUCUGCCAAUUGCCAAUUUGUUAAGCUAUCAAUCAAUUAUCAAAGCAAUUACCAUUUAGUUGUAAAUAGUGCUUAUUUUUUAAGCAAAUUUCCUCCAAAUGCUUUCUUUAUUUAAGUGUAUAAUUAACUAUAAGUAGCUGUUACUAAAUGUGAGUAACCCAGGCGUGCCAAUACAAUUCAAUUGAAACCAUUUUUUUUAAUCAUGUGUUGAUUUUACAACAUUAUUAUUAUUAUUAUUAUUAUUAUUAUUAUUAGCAACAAAUGAGUCAUAACUAUGCUAUUUGUUUUAGUAUUUAUAUGUUUGUAUGAUGAACAGAAUAGUUAAUUUUGACAUUAAUUAAUUUGCAUGUAAAGAAUAAUAAACUUAAUUGUUUAAUUUAACUCGACGCCAUUAAUCAGUUACACAAUUAAGGUAUAGUCAUAGUGCAAAUAUGGUACUAGUAAUAUUGAAAAUACACAAUAUCAAGACAUAUUGAGUGAUUCUUCUAAAUGUCAAUUAAUUUCUUUUUUUUUAUCUCUUUGUAGAAUGGACUGAUUUGCUUCAUUUUCUAUCCGUUGUUGCUUGAUUCGAUUGGUGGUGGUUAAUUAUUGCUAAUUUGGAGGUGUUGUCUUGGUGUUGAUGCCUUGAUGGUGUGAGAGAUGGAUUAUUAAUGUUGUUUGUCAUGUGGAGAUGUGUUAAUGGAGAUGAAAUUAUUAAUCAUGGUUGCCAUUUUGUUUUUUAGAUUUGUGAUUUCAAUAGCUUUAUUAUACUUGACUACAUGUUUUAUGUCUUGUUAACUUUAAAAAGACUUGUUGAAAUAUUGUUAAGGAUGCUUGGUAGUUGAUAUUUGUUGUUAAGGAUGUUUCAAUUUGAGAUUUUGGGAUUUUAGGUGGAUGUUGGCAAGAAUUUUUUGGAUUAAAUUGUUCCAGCCCGUUCUAACUCAAAUUAACCCGAAUCGAAAUUUUAACCCGAAUUACCAACCUAAUCUGAUUUGAAUUAUGAACCCGAACCGAACCAGUUCGAUUCAAGUUCGCUUUUUCAACCUGAUUUAGUUCAAUUCUCCAACCUGAUCGGGUUGUAACCUAAAUCGAAAUCCGAACAACCGAACUAAAAUCCAAUUUGCCCACCCCUAGUUGUUAGUCCUCAAUGUAGAAUAAUUAUAUGACAUUCAAGUGGCCAAUGAAAUUUCGAAUAAUCACAGAGUUUUCUUUUAUCAUAAAUGAGAGAAUAUAAUUCAUGUAAUUUUGAUGAAGCUAGGUAUUUGAGCUAUGUGGCGAAUUGUCCGACUGC
rnacentral:lncRNA from 1 species